rnacentral:rRNA from 1 species
GUGAGUCAUCGAAUCUUUGAACGCACCUUGCGCUCCUUGGUAUUCCUCGGAGCAUGCCUGUUUGAGUAUCAUGAAAUCCUCAAAAUAAAUCUUUUGUUCGUUCGAUCGAUUUUAUUUUGGACUUGGAGGUCUGCAGAUUCACGUCUGCUCCUCUUAAAUUCAUUAGCUGGAUCUCCGUGAACUCGGUUCCACUCGGCGUGAUAAGUAUCACUCGCUGAGGACACUGUAAAAGGUGGCCGGGGUUGUGGAAGAACCGCUUCCAAUAGUCCAUUGACUUGGACAAUUUAUUUAUGAUCUGAUCUCAAAUCAGGUAGGACUACCCGCUGAACUUAAGCAUAUCAAUAAGCGGAGG